AAUCCUUAAGCAAAGUUCUUUUGCACAUCUCUUUUAACUUUUAAUGCACUAGAUAUGCAGCAAGUAGCAGUAAUUUUCUAGUGCCUUGUUUGAAAGAAAUGGUGUCUAAAUAUAAAUAGCAACUGAAAGUUACUAGUGCACAAAGUACUGGACAUGAGGAUAAGCUGGUAAAACCAAUGAGGACAAGUUGCUUUAUGGUCUAAGAAAAAAUAUGAAAGCAUGAGAGAUAAACAAUUACGGAAAAGAAGAUGCCAUGUGUCACAGACCCUUUAUGGAGUGACACCAACCAUGGAGCUGGGCUCCCAGGUAUGUGUAAGUAAAUGCUUCACCUCAGACUUACAGCUGGUGCUCACUAGCACCAUAUUCUCCAUUUGCUGAAAGACCAGGGAACAGGAUUUGAAGAGAAGAGAAAAUCCCAAGUUUCAGCAGCAGUAGACCACACUAGAAGCAGAUGCCACCAGAAGAAAAUAUAAGUAGAGCAGAUCAGUGAAGAAACAGAUUUCUGCAAUAAGAUGUUCUCAGCAAGAAUGGAAAAGAGAAGGGUGGCUUCUUGUGACAAAGGGAGAAGAGUUAAUG